rnacentral:rRNA from 1 species
UGCAAGUCGAACGAACUCUGGUAUUGAUUGGUGCUUGCAUCAUGAUUUACAUUUGAGUGAGUGGCGAACUGGUGAGUAACACGUGGGAAACCUGCCCAGAAGCGGGGGAUAACACCUGGAAACAGAUGCUAAUACCGCAUAACAACUUGGACCGCAUGGUCCGAGCUUGAAAGAUGGCUUCGGCUAUCACUUUUGGAUGGUCCCGCGGCGUAUUAGCUAGAUGGUGGGGUAACGGCUCACCAUGGCAAUGAUACGUAGCCGACCUGAGAGGGUAAUCGGCCACAUUGGGACUGAGACACGGCCCAAACUCCUACGGGAGGCAGCAGUAGGGAAUCUUCCACAAUGGACGAAAGUCUGAUGGAGCAACGCCGCGUGAGUGAAGAAGGGUUUCGGCUCGUAAAACUCUGUUGUUAAAGAAGAACAUAUCUGAGAGUAACUGUUCAGGUAUUGACGGUAUUUAACCAGAAAGCCACGGCUAACUACGUGCCAGCAGCCGCGGUAAUACGUAGGUGGCAAGCGUUGUCCGGAUUUAUUGGGCGUAAAGCGAGCGCAGGCGGUUUUUUAAGUCUGAUGUGAAAGCCUUCGGCUCAACCGAAGAAGUGCAUCGGAAACUGGGAAACUUGAGUGCAGAAGAGGACAGUGGAACUCCAUGUGUAGCGGUGAAAUGCGUAGAUAUAUGGAAGAACACCAGUGGCGAAGGCGGCUGUCUGGUCUGUAACUGACGCUGAGGCUCGAAAGUAUGGGUAGCAAACAGGAUUAGAUACCCUGGUAGUCCAUACCGUAAACGAUGAAUGCUAAGUGUUGGAGGGUUUCCGCCCUUCAGUGCUGCAGCUAACGCAUUAAGCAUUCCGCCUGGGGAGUACGGCCGCAAGGCUGAAACUCAAAGGAAUUGACGGGGGCCCGCACAAGCGGUGGAGCAUGUGGUUUAAUUCGAAGCUACGCGAAGAACCUUACCAGGUCUUGACAUACUAUGCAAAUCUAAGAGAUUAGACGUUCCCUUCGGGGACAUGGAUACAGGUGGUGCAUGGUUGUCGUCAGCUCGUGUCGUGAGAUGUUGGGUUAAGUCCCGCAACGAGCGCAACCCUUAUUAUCAGUUGCCAGCAUUAAGUUGGGCACUCUGGUGAGACUGCCGGUGACAAACCGGAGGAAGGUGGGGAUGACGUCAAAUCAUCAUGCCCCUUAUGACCUGGGCUACACACGUGCUACAAUGGAUGGUACAACGAGUUGCGAACUCGCGAGAGUAAGCUAAUCUCUUAAAGCCAUUCUCAGUUCGGAUUGUAGGCUGCAACUCGCCUACAUGAAGUCGGAAUCGCUAGUAAUCGCGGAUCAGCAUGCCGCGGUGAAUACGUUCCCGGGCCUUGUACACACCGCCCGUCACACCAUGAGAGUUUGUAACACCCAAAGUCCGGUGGGGUAACCUGUUAGGAAC